AUUGAUCAAACACCUGCUGCUAAUUCAAACCAGGCCACUGGGCACAGACGUCAGUUCAACAUCUAGUUUCUAUUUACAUUUGUUUGAGUUGUCAACUAAAGUGAAUUCAACAUGAAAACAACAAAAACGUCACUCGCUAUUGGAUUUAGUUUGCAAAUCUGAGCAUUGGUAAGGCUUCUCCCCUGUAAGUAUGUCUUCCCACAGUCUGAGCAUUGGUAAGGCUUCUCCCCUGUAAGUAUUUGCUCAUGAGCUUUCAGGUUUCCUAACAAGGCAAAACUCUUUCCACACUGGAAGCAGUAAUGAAGCUCAUGUCCUAUGUGUGUCCUCUCAUGUGUUUUCAUGUUCUUUAACUGGGUAAAACUCUAUCCACACUAGGAGCAGUGGUAAGACUUCUAUCCUGUGUGUCCCCUCUCAUGUCUGUUCAGGCCCCCUAACAGGUUAAAACUAUUUCCACACUGAGAGCAGUGAUGAGGUUUCACCCCUGUGUGUGAAAUGACUUUUCAGGUUAGAUAACCGGUAAAACUCUUUCCACACUGUGAGCAGUGGUAAGGCUUUUCUCCUGUAUGUAUUCUCUCAUGUUCUUUUCGGGAUCCUAACCGGUUAAAACUCUUUCCACACUGGGAGCAGUGGAGUUGUCUUUGUGCUUUGGAUAUUUCUGGCUUUGGUUUCUCCGAAUCUGGCCUUUUCCUGCCAAAUAAAAAAGUAUUUAUUUCAAGAGAGACCUCAACAAAAUCUCCACAUGGUACAAGCUUCUUGCUAUGAGUUUGAAUCCUAAUCAGUUCCCUCAAUAACCUGAGGCUAGUUUCAACAUUUCAUCAUAAAAAAAAAAAAAGAUUUUAAAAACAAGUGACGUUGUAGAGCUCCAACUCUAAUCUUGCUGUUUUUAGGCUGAGCAGAGCUCUAUAAUAAUAGAUCAUGUCAUGUUUAUAGGCUGAGCAGAGCUCUAUAAUAAUAGAUCAUGUCAUGUUUAUAGGCUGAGCAGAGCUCUAUAAUAAUAGAUAAUGUCAUGUUUUUAGGGUGAGCAGAGCUUUAUAAUAAUAGAUAAUGAGAACUACAGUAUUU
rnacentral:lncRNA from 1 species